rnacentral:rRNA from 1 species
CGGGUGAGUAACGCGUGGGUAACCUGCCUCAUACAGGGGGAUAACAGUUAGAAAUGGCUGCUAAUACCGCAUAAGACCACAGUACUGCAUGGUACAGUGGUAAAAACUCCGGUGGUAUGAGAUGGACCCGCGUCUGAUUAGGUAGUUGGUGAGGUAACGGCCCACCAAGCCGACGAUCAGUAGCCGACCUGAGAGGGUGACCGGCCACAUUGGGACUGAGACACGGCCCAG